GCUCUGUAGAGGAAGCACAGGGGAGCUGAGGCUGAGGGACAUAAAUCCAAAUGGCAGUUGAUGCCUGACAGGGAAACUGAGGCCUUGGAGAGGAAGGGAGCACUAGCCACAGAGGUGCUUCCUGGCCUUAGGGCCCCACCUUCUCUCUCCUCCCUUGGACGCCACCUGAAGGAGAGACUGAGUCCAGCUCAGUCAAGGGCCUCUGCAGCUUUGCAGCCAGGCAGCUCCACGGCUUCAGGAUUUGGAAAAGAGGGACUUGGGGUCAUUGUGGAGGGUGCUUCACCCCUAGGCAGGAUGGACUUGGAGCCUCCAGCACCCAGGGCCAGGUGUGAGGAUCUCCCUCAUAACAGCAGGUUGCCGAGUGCCAGGACCUGAGGACUCAACACAGGGGCCUUCCCUUCCAAGCCCCAGGAUCCUGUUCCCAAAGCUGCUGCCCGAGGGUCACUCACAUCCAGGUAAUCCUUCAUCGCCGUGUCCAGCAUCACCAGGUCAGUGAGGAAGGUGCCCAGGAAGGGGAUGGAACCCUGUGCCAUUGGGUGGAGAGGACGAGAACCCAGCCCCACUCCCACUUAGAGCGUGGAAGUCCCCCUGAACCUACACACAGCUGUCUCCUGCCCCUCUGGGACUCCGAACUAAGUCCUUCCAAUUCUCUCCCUCCCAUCUCCCUGCCGGGCUUCCUGUGACACGGAACACCCCGAGUUACCUCCCUGGUGCUGGUUUCCUUAUUUCCUACUGAGGACUGGAACUAGCGCCUUUGCACCGUGCUACAUCCCCAGCCUUUUUUAUUGUUCACCCAGGGACAGGGACCUGCUGAGGCAUGAAGUUGCCUAAACUGGGUGCGAACUUGUGAGAUCCUUGUGCCUCCACCUCCCAGAAUGCUGUGGUUGCAGGCACGUGCCACCCUGCCUGGCUUCCAUGGGGAUGACUGGUGUGGGUCACAUGAUGCUGUGCCUGUCUCCAGCUCUAGCCCAUAUGUGCUGUGUGCAGCCCUUCCGGGGUCUUGCCGUGGCCUCUCUGAUGGAGGCAUCUCCAGCACAGCAGGGAAAGGCUGGAGGAGGAAGGCACCCUGCUCUCUGGGUGUGGAAUGUUCUGGAAGGAAGGGAGGCUCUCCUGUCCUCUGACUCCUGGGACCUUCCCUACCCCUGGACACUCACCUUCUUCUGCUGCUGCUGCCUCAUCUGGGCUCUCUGGGGGUUCUUCUCCAGGGUGGCCUCCUUGGAGAGCCCCUCCUGCCAGGUUAGACAGGGAUGUUGAGACUUUUCUGCCCUUAUAAAACUUCCCUGAGCUGC
rnacentral:lncRNA from 1 species